ACCCGGCCGGGACGUAUCCUGCUGUCAGUUUUUGCCUGGUUAAGGUCUGAUGGUGAAAGUUGGCAAAGGGAGGUGCAUGAGUCAGGAAGAGUGCGCUGACCGAGCAGAGGAGGCCGAACCGCGGCGACUUCAGAGCGCCUCGUUCAGAGGCCGCAGCCUGGCCAGCCCAAUUCCCGUCAGCGUCGGAAGCUUGGUUCCACUGCAUCUCCUGGAGGGCGGAGCCGACGCCGCCCUCUGCCUCCGCCAUGACCAGCCAACGAAGCCUCACGUAGGCUGGUGCAGCACAAGUGCACAUGCGCAGCAGGUUUCACAGAAGAAAAGACUAUUCCACAAAACAAUGAUUAUCCAAGAAGUACAGAUUAUAUUUGAUUUUUCAUUUUGUGUCCAGAGUUACAAGUUCAGUCACAAUUAGGAAAUACAAACAGAACAGAUUUUGUUCUUAUCAUCAGCCCUAUCACUCCAAUUUAAAGAACCUAAAGCAUGUCUCCUCCAAAGCCAACACAUUUAUCACAUGACAGCCUGCCUGCUUUCAGGCUGGCCAAGUUUGGAGUUUUAAAGCACACCAGACAAAAUAUAUGAACUGGUCUUUUUACUAACAACAAAUACUAGUACCUAACUUCUUUUAUUACUUCAUCAUCUAUGCUAUAAAGUAGGAAAAGUUUAGUCAAUCUGUGUUAUUUACUGAAUUCUGUUCUUCCAGGUGUGAAUCCUGUAUGACCCCCUAUCUUUAAAGUUCAUUUCAGGAAGCUCUUAAGCCUACUGUAAAGGGAGGCCUUGAAUGUAAGCUAUUCUCCUGGCGAGUCAGGGUUUGUCAGCUGUCUCUGUUUACCCCGCACCAAUUAUACUGUUUGAGUUAGCCCAGGGGCUGAUACACCAAGAAGUUUCCUGGAGUAAUGAUCUCAUCUAAUUAUGUGUUUAUCUGUGUUUUAAUGAUCUCCACAGCAUAAGGAAGACUUAAAAAUACACCCAGAUAAGGUUAGUUUUAGGAUUUUUCUAAAAAUGACUCAAGCAUAAUUUUUCUCAGGAAAAGACAUAAAAUGAAUUAUAAUGCAGAAAGUCCCCAGUAAUGCAACACAGAGAGACCAACCAAAUUCCAAAAGUCACAGUGAGUGCAGCAUCCAGCUCAGCUUUGCUGGGACUGUAUCAUGCAGCUCUGCUGCUCCAUGACUUUAACUGUUUCCAGUGUAUAUGGCUGUGCCAGAGUUUUCCAGGGUCGGGAUUGGUGAGAUUUCAGCCCAAGCCGGAGGAUUGGUGGGGUUUCUAGCUAAGGGAUUAGUGGUUUUCAUGCUCAGGAAUUGGUGGGGUUUGAUAGAUUUUCAAACCCAGAAGUGGGCUUGGAUCUUUUGCCCUAAAGGUACAGGUAGAGAUGUCACCUACAACAAACCUAUUAGAAAUAAUUUAUUGCUAGGCAGUGUGACCUUCAAAGUUAAGUGAUUUUAAAAAUUAACUAAAAGCAGCUAGGUAUGGUGAUGCACACCUUUAAUCCCAGCACCUAAGAGGCAGAGGCAGGACAACUCUGAGUUGGAGGCCAGCCUGGUCUACAUAGUGAGUGAGUUCUAGUGUAACAGGGCCCCAUGCCUUAGCACAACUGACUCCAUGAUGGAACUACCAUUCAAGCUAUAAAUCUCAGCACACAGCACAGUGAUGGCUAACAUUAUGUUCAUCGUUAACACUAAUGUUAUGUUUAAAGUUUAAAAUCUCUGGGCUUUUUGAGAACUGUAAAGCAAAUUUAGACUUCUACAGAGUGAGUUCCAGGACAGCCAGGGCUACACAGAGAAACCUUGUCUCAAAAAAACAAAAACAAAAACAAAAACAAAAAGCUUGUUUUGCAUAAGAGGACCUUCUGCUUGUACUAGAACAGAAUUAACUUGUGUUUUUUGCCUUUAUAAACCCGACAGAGGUGGCUGGGAGCUACAUUCAGGAAUUCAUAGUCCUGGGUGUAGACCUAGUGCCAGUCUAUAAAUAAAAGCCUCUUCUUAAACUGGUCAGUUCCCAGCACUCAAGAGGCAGAGGCAGGUAGAUCUCUGUGUAUUGGAAGCUAACCUGGUCUACAGAGUGAGUUCCAGACAGGGGGAUGUGUGGGGAAAUCUUA